rnacentral:rRNA from 1 species
UACGUAGGGGGCGAGCGUUGCCCGAAUUUACUGGGCGUAAAGCGCACGUAGGCGGCUUCGUAAGUCUGGUGUGAAAUCUCACGGCUCAACCGAGAGGCUGCACCAGAUACUGCGAAGCUCGAGGGCGGGAGAGGAGAUUGGAAUUCCCGGUGUAGCGGUGAAAUGCAUUGAUAUCGGGAGGAACACCAGUGGCGAAGGCGGCCCCCUGGACCAAUACUGACGCUGAGGUGCGAAAGCGUGGGGAGCAAACAGG